ensembl:rRNA 5S_rRNA 5S ribosomal RNA
AAACACAGCCAUAUCACUCUGCAGCCCAAGACUGGUUGCCCACUGAAGCUAAGCAGGGUUGAGCCUGGUGAAUACCUGGAUGGGAGACCUUCUGGGAAAACUAGGUUGGUGUUGU